GUUAGGCUUAAUCGAGUUAAGGGGUCUUUAGGCACUAAAAGAAGGCGCUGGAACUGCUGUCUCGUUUACUCGCCGAUUUAGUUUAAAAAGAGAAUCAUUCUGAGGCUCUAUCACAUGAUACUAGUAGUUCUUCUGCUAUGCUCAAUACUUCAGGUAUGGGUGAUGGGGACGAAGAGCAGCCAUUUUGUGCAUAGAUAUAGGAUCGGCUGUUGGGAAACAUACAUUAGUGUUAGUGUGGUAUGGUUGACCGAAGGAUGGUCAGUUACAGACAGGUAUUCUUUGUUAGUAUUAUUAUUAUUAUUACUAUUAUUAUCAACAUCAUCAAAACUAUUCAUAAUUUUAGAUUGUCAUGUGAUUUGUGCUGAAUUUCGAUUCAAUCCCAGUUGUGAGUCCUGUAAUCGUAACUCAAGUUUAUUAGUUACUAGAUACAGAAGCUCGUACUAGCAUUUUUCUUGUACUGGUAUAUUACCAUCACAGUACUGCUAUAUUUUUGUCGGCAUCACUGGGCACAGUUGGGAAGAGGUACACAGAUACAGGAGGCUCCUCACCAUCCCAAUAUCUAUUCAACCCUAUAUACAUAAUGUUUAUAUUUUUAAAAAUUUAGAAUAAUAUUUUUGUAUUUACUUCUUCCAGUAGAUCGUUGAAUGUUACAACUGCUACCAGUACUAGGAUCUGAAUGAGGACCAUGUUGGGGUCUUUUGCUGGAACCACUUAUACUUGAUGAUGGUGGCUGAUAUAUGGUAGUCGGCAGGGUUGUCUGGUCCCAGCGGUGGCGGUUCUUGGGCUGGUUUUCUGUGUAGUAGUGAGGGCUAUUCCCUUGCCACUAUCACUUAUUACCUGCCUGACAGCAUCAUUGACCGUGUUUCUUAGGCUGUUGGCAGAUUUUUUAGAAUAUAC